rnacentral:lncRNA from 1 species
AAGCAUGUACAUGGUUUCGAAUCACCCCCCAACCAAGGGGGUUUAGUUCCUCAUACUCACAACACAAAGUUUAUUGAAUUGAAACAUUAAAAACAUAAGAAAGAUCACACCUAAAAAUUCCAGCAAUCUAAAUUGCACAGCAGGAACGUCUAAGAACCUUCCUCCUCUUCCUUGGUUGCGGCCCAGGGGUUUGUGAUGGUUUUUGGGGGUUAUGGAUGGUGUAGAAUGGUGGAAAAGUGUGUAGGAUAGGUGUAUGGGACGGCUAGGGUGGUUUUGGGUCAGAAAAUAUGGUGAAUGAUGAAGGAUAGGUGCUGUUGAAGAUGGAGAAUGGUUUCUGGCGUGAAGGAUUAUUUUCUGGAUGAAUGGUCCCCCUUGUGGCUGCACAAGGAUGUUUAUUUAAAAGGAUUUAGGAAAUUAAAAACCCUAGGCUAAUUAGGUAAUCAGGAAUUAAGUUUAAAGCUUCUAGAAUUAAGGAAACA